GUGUGUGUGUGUGUGUGUGUGUUUACCUAUAGAUAUGAAACGUGUGCUGUGAGGUUGUGGUGAAUAUUUGUAUUUCUUUGUGAAUGCUGUUGGUGUUUGCUGGCUAUACUUCCCUGGGGGGGAUGUACCAUAUGUGUGGACUAUAAUUUACUGUGGCUAUUUACCUGUUGGUUUUUGAAUGCCAAAUCCCUGGGGUUACUACUUGUAUUUAUGAAAUUAAAGUACAUUUAUCCUGCAGUUCUACACAUUUGCCAUGGGAUGGAAAAAAAUUAUCCUUCGAACUCCUCUAACCUAGUAUAUUAUUGUCUCUCUAAUCAAAAUACAGAGUGGGGCUCCCAGAAUCUUACCUAGUGUACAGACCAGUAAAUUCUACAGGUAGGAUAUAAGCCUACUGGCGGCUUGACUAUAUGCACUCUGCAAUCCCCUUCCCCCAGGAAUAGACAAACAAGUGAACAGGAAUGGGUUAGACAGACAAAACAACAAAGAGGUCAAACAAAAAUAAACACAGUGGGGUGGCAGUAACACUGUGACAACAUUUAUUACAUACCCACACAUGAACGACUCUCUCUACUAAAGUACUAAGUGUAUAAAUGUCUGAAUGUCAAAGUGUUUGUAAGUGGAUCCCUAAAUGAAUCCAAAGUGUACUUAUGUGUCUGCAAAGCCCAAGAGAGAGGCUAAGAUGAAAGACAACAGUUGGUUUUUAAAAUAUGGGAGUGUGGUGAGAUUGGCCAUUAACAACAACAGGUUUCAUGUAAUUAUGGUGCCUGGUCACUGAUUGGACCACAUGGGUGCAGAAACAAACGUUUAAUGAUGAUGGACAAGUGAAGGAACAAAUCACAAGGGACGAAUAGGAAUAAGGAACACCUGGAUAUGGACUGACAGAGAGAGAAGAAUCAAAGGGCAAACAAAUACAAACACAGGGACGAUUCCAGGGGACAUAACAAGUAUUUUGCUGUCACAGUCCAGACAUACAGUAGACCACAAAAGAUAUAGUCCACAACAAGUGUUUUCUUCUCUAAACUUAAAAAGGACUAAUCUAACUGAAGGUUCUAACUUCAAUGUGAUGGAAGUACACCCCUUAAUAACUAUAAAUAAAAUAGCCAAAACCAAGCC
ensembl:lncRNA